rnacentral:rRNA from 1 species
ACUGGGGGAUAACACUUAGAAAUAGGUGCUAAUACCGCAUAAGCGCACAGCUUCGCAUGAAGCAGUGUGAAAAACUCCGGUGGUAUACGAUGGAUCCGCGUCUGAUUAGCUGGUUGGCGGGGUAACAGCCCACCAAGGCGACGAUCAGUAGCCGGCCUGAGAGGGUGAACGGCCACAUUGGGACUGAGACACGGCCCAAACUCCUACGGGAGGCAGCAGUGGGGAAUAUUGCACAAUGGGGGAAACCCUGAUGCAGCGACGCCGCGUGAGUGAAGAAGUAUUUCGGUAUGUAAAGCUCUAUCAGCAGGGAAGAAAUACUGACCUUACGGUCAGCAGACGGUACCUGACUAAGAAGCCCCGGCUAACUACGUGCCAGCAGCCGCGGUAAUACGUAGGGGGCAAGCGUUAUCCGGAUUUACUGGGUGUAAAGGGAGCGUACACGGCAGCGCAAGUCUGAAGUGAAAUCCCAUGGCUUAACCAUGGAACUGCUUUGGAAACUGUGCAGCUGGAGUGCAGGAGAGGUAAGCGGAAUUCCUAGUGUAGCGGUGAAAUGCGUANAUAUUAGGAGAAACACCAGUGGCGAAGGCGGCUUGCUGGACUGUAAC